rnacentral:rRNA from 1 species
UUUGGAGGGCAAGUCUGGUGCCAGCAGCCGCGGUAAUUCCAGCUCCAAUAGCGUAUAUUAAAGUUGUUGCAGUUAAAAAGCUCGUAGUUGAAUUUCGGGAUCAAUUUGUUGGUCGUGCCUCGGUACGUACUGGCAUUAUUGGUUUCUACCUUCUGAAGAACCUUGAUGUCAUUAAUUUGGUGUCUUGGGGAAUCAGGACUGUUACUUUGAAAAAAUUAAAGUGUUUAAAGCAGGCA